CAUGCAAGUCGAGGGGCAGCAUGUUGGUUGCUUGCAACCAACGAUGGCGACCGGCGCACGGGUGAGUAACGCGUAUCCAACCUACCCUUGUCCAUCGGAUAACCCGUCGAAAGGCGGCCUAACACGAUAUGCGGUUCACGGCAGGCAUCUAAGGUGAACGAAAUGUGAAGGAGAAGGAUGGGGAUGCGUCUGAUUAGCUUGUUGGCGGGGUAACGGCCCACCAAGGCUACGAUCAGUAGGGGUUCUGAGAGGAAGGUCCCCCACAUUGGAACUGAGACACGGUCCAAACUCCUACGGGAGGCAGCAGUGAGGAAUAUUGGUCAAUGGGCGAGAGCCUGAACCAGCCAAGUAGCGUGCAGGAUGACGGCCCUAUGGGUUGUAAACUGCUUUUAUAGGGGGAUAAAGUGUGCCACGUGUGGCAUAUUGCAGGUACCCUAUGAAUAAGGACCGGCUAAUUCCGUGCCAGCAGCCGCGGUAAUACGGAAGGUCCGGGCGUUAUCCGGAUUUAUUGGGUUUAAAGGGAGCGUAGGCCGUUUGGUAAGCGUGUUGUGAAAUGUCGGGGCUCAACCUGGGCAUUGCAGCGCGAACUGCCAGACUUGAGUGCGCAGGAAGUAGGCGGAAUUCGUCGUGUAGCGGUGAAAUGCUUAGAUAUGACGAAGAACUCCGAUUGCGAAGGCAGCCUGCUGUAGCGCAACUGACGCUGAAGCUCGAAAGCGUGGGUAUCGAACAGGAUUAGAUACCCUGGUAGUCCACGCGGUAAACGAUGGAUGCUCGCUGUUUGCGUCUGACGUAAGCGGCCAAGUGAAAGCGUUAAGCAUCCCACCUGGGGAGUACGCCGGCAACGGUGAAA
rnacentral:rRNA from 1 species